ACUCCUACGGGAGGCAGCAGUAGGGGAAUCUUCCACAAUGGGCGCAAGCCUGAUGGAGCAACACCGCGUGAGUGAAGAAGGGUUUCGGCUCGUAAAGCUCUGUUGUUAAAGAAGAACACGUAUGAGAGUAACUGUUCAUACGUUGACGGUAUUUAACCAGAAAGUCACGGCUAACUACGUGCCAGCAGCCGCGGUAAUACGUAGGUGGCAAGCGUUAUCCGGAUUUAUUGGGCGUAAAGAGAGUGCAGGCGGUUUUCUAAGUCUGAUGUGAAAGCCUUCGGCUUAACCGGGAGAAGUGCAUCGGAAACUGGAUAACUUGAGUGCAGAAGAGGGUAGUGGAACUCCAUGUGUAGCGGUGGAAUGCGUAGAUAUAUGGAAGAACACCAGUGGCGAAGGCGGCUACCUGGUCUGCAACUGACGCUGAGACUCGAAAGCAUGGGUAGCGAACAGGAUUAGAUACCCUGGUAGGAUAGCG
rnacentral:rRNA from 1 species